GCCUACUUUCAGCCUCAAGUGUGUUUUAACAGCGACAGGUUGAGGUGUUGAUCCGAAGACUGACCGAUUUUGUGAAGUCAAGAAGAUGAGUGGAUCUGCGUCUACAAGUGGCCGUUUAAUGGCUGAAGGGUCUCAACUCUUCAAUGGAAAUCCUCCAAACUUUCACACUGAACCCAGACCUUCACAACCAUGGGUCCAGUCUAUUUCAAGCAGUCAGGAGAACCAGAACACCCUGAAGGGGAUUCAAUGUGAGAGGAACGACUCCAAGGUGAUUUAUAUAGACUUCUGAACCAAGCCUUUAUCAAACAAGAUUCACUGAAGUCAAGAAGAUGAAUAAAUCUCAGAGAGGAUCAGCGUCUUCAAAUGUCAGUUUAAUUCAACAAUGAACAUGAAGUGAGACAAAUUGAAACAGUGUUUAACAGACAUGAGGAGGACAUCUUCAAGGCCAAACACUAACAUGUUGUUAUGGAUUCAUUAAAAGUAACCUAAAAGUA